UACGGAGGGGGCGAGCGUUAUUCGGAAUUAUUGGGCGUAAAGGGCGCGUAGGCGGCUCUUUAAGUCAAAGGUGAAAUCCCUCGGCUCAACCGAGGAAUUGCCUUCGAUACUGCCAGGCUCGAGGCCGGGAGGGGGUGGCGGAAUUCCCAGUGUAGCGGUGAAAUGCGUAGAUAUUGGGAGGAACACCAGUGGCGAAGGCGGCCACCUGGACCGGUUCUGACGCUGAGGCGCGAAAGCGUGGGGAGCAAACAGG
rnacentral:rRNA from 1 species